CCUACGGGGGGCAGCAGUGGGGAAUAUUGGACAAUGGGGGCAACCCUGAUCCAGCCAUGCCGCGUGUGUGAAGAAGGCCUUCGGGUUGUAAAGCACUUUAAGUGGGGAGAAAGGCUCGGUAGCUAAUAACUGCCGGGAUUGAUGCUACCCACAGAAUAAGCACCGGCUAACUCUGUGCCAGCAGCCGCGGUAAUACAGAGGGUGCAAGCGUUAAUCGGAAUUACUGGGCGUAAAGCGCGCGUAGGCGGCUGCCUAAGUCGGAUGUGAAAUCCCCGGGCUUAACCUGGGAACUGCAUUCGAUACUGGGCGGCUAGAGUAUGAGAGAGGGAGGUAGAAUUCCACGUGUAGCGGUGAAAUGCGUAGAUAUGUGGAGGAAUACCGGUGGCGAAGGCGGCCUCCUGGCUUAAUACUGACGCUGAGGUGCGAAAGCGUGGGGAGCAAACAGGAUUAGAUACCCUUGUAGUC
rnacentral:rRNA from 1 species